GAGCGAAGCGGUUUUAAGGAAGUUUUCGGAUGGAAUUAAAACUGACUGAGCGGCGGACGGGUGAGUAACGCGUGGGUAACCUGCCUCAUACAGGGGGAUAACAGUUAGAAAUGGCUGCUAAUACCGCAUAAGCACACAGCUUCGCAUGGAGCAGUGUGAAAAACUCCGGUGGUAUGAGAUGGACCCGCGUCUGAUUAGCUAGUUGGUAAGGUAACGGCUUACCAAGGCGACGAUCAGUAGCCGACCUGAGAGGGUGACCGGCCACAUUGGGACUGAGACACGGCCCAAACUCCUACGGGAGGCAGCAGUGGGGAAUAUUGCACAAUGGGGGAAACCCUGAUGCAGCGACGCCGCGUGAGUGAAGAAGUAUCUCGGUAUGUAAAGCUCUAUCAGCAGGGAAGAAAAUGACGGUACCUGACUAAGAAGCCCCGGCUAACUACGUGCCAGCAGCCGCGGUAAUACGUAGGGGGCAAGCGUUAUCCGGAUUUACUGGGUGUAAAGGGAGCGUAGACGGCGGAGCAAGUCUGAAGUGAAAGCCCGGGGCUCAACCCCGGGACUGCUUUGGAAACUGUUCUGCUAGAGUGCUGGAGAGGUAAGUGGAAUUCCUAGUGUAGCGGUGAAAUGCGUAGAUAUUAGGAGGAACACCAGUGGC
rnacentral:rRNA from 1 species